rnacentral:rRNA from 1 species
CAGCAGCCGCGGUAAUACAGAGGGUGCGAGCGUUAAUCGGAUUUACUGGGCGUAAAGCGUGCGUAGGCGGCUUUUUAAGUCGGAUGUGAAAUCCCUGAGCUUAACUUAGGAAUUGCAUUCGAUACUGGGAAGCUAGAGUAUGGGAGAGGAUGGUAGAAUUCCAGGUGUAGCGGUGAAAUGCGUAGAGAUCUGGAGGAAUACCGAUGGCGAAGGCAGCCAUUUGGCCUAAUACUGACGCUGAGGUACGAAAGCAUGGGGAGCAAACAGGAUUAGAUACCCGCGUAGUCCCUGUCUCUUAUAC